AUUGAACGCUGGCGGCAGACCUAACACAUGCAAGUCGAGCGGAGCGGCGGACGGGUGAGUAAUGCCUAGGUAUCUGCCUGGUAGUGGGGGCUAACGUCCGGAAACGGGCGCUAAUACCGCAUCCUUUCAGCUGAGCCUAGUUCGGAUUAGCUAGUUGGUGGGGUAAAGGCCUACCAAGGCGACGAUCCGUAACUGGUCUGAGAGGAUGAUCAGUCAAACUGGAAAGUAGACACGGUCCAGACUCCUACGGGAGGCAGCAGUGGGGAAUAUUGGACAAUUGGCGAAAGCCUGAUCCAGCCAUGCCGCGUGGGUGAAGAAGGUCUUCGGAUUGUAAAGCACUUUAAGUUGGGAGGAGUGACCAACAGAAUAAGCACCGGCUAACUUCGUGCCAGCAGCCGCGGUAAAUC
rnacentral:rRNA from 1 species